rnacentral:rRNA from 1 species
AUUGAACGCUGGCGGCAGGCCUAACACAUGCAAGUCGAGCGGAUGAAGGGAGCUUGCGCCUGGAGUCAGCGGCGGACGGGUGAGUAAUGCCUAUGAAUCUGCCUGGUAGUGGUGGAGGACGACUUCAAACGGGCGCUAAUACCGCAUACGUCCUGAGGGAGCAAGUGGGGGAGCUUCGGACCUCACGCUAUCAGAUGAGCCUAGGUCGGAUUAGCUAGUUGGUGGGGGAAGGGGCUACCAAGGCGACGAUCCGUAACUGGUCUGAGAGGAUGAUCAGUCGCCCUGGAGCGUAGCCACGGUCAAGACUCCUAAGGGACGCAGCAGUCUGGUACAUUGGACAGUGGGCGAAAGCAUGAUCCAGUCAUGGCGAGUGUGUGAAGACGGUCUCCCGAUCGUAAUGCACGUCAAGUUGGGGGGAACGGCAGUAAGUUAAUACCUAGCUGUUUUGACGGUACCAGGUGAAUAAGCACCGGCUAACUUCGUG